AUUAUGUAAAAUGACUCUCGGCAACGGAUAUCUSGGNUCUUGCAUCGAUGAAGAACGUASCGAAAUGCGAUACUUGGUGUGAAUUGCAGAAUCCCGUGAACCAUCGAGUCUUUGAACGCAAGNUGCGCCCAAAGCCAUUAGGUUGAGGGCACGCCUGCCUGGGCGUCACAC
rnacentral:rRNA from 1 species